GUCCCUGUAGCGCAAUGGAUUGCGCGUUGGACUUCUAUUCCAAAAGGUCGUGCGUUGUAAUCUCUUCUGGGAUG